rnacentral:rRNA from 1 species
GAACGCUGGCGGCGUGCUUAACACAUGCAAGUCGAACGGAGUUUUUAACGGAAGUUUUCGGAUGGAAGUUUAAAACUUAGUGGCGGACGGGUGAGUAACGCGUGGGUAACCUGCCUCAUACAGGGGGAUAACAGUUAGAAAUGACUGCUAACACCGCAUAAUAUAGCGAAACCGCAUGAUUUUUGCUAUCAAAUAUUUAUAGGUAUGAGAUGGGCCCGCGUCUGAUUAGCUAGUUGGUGGGGUAAAAGCCUACCAAGGCGACGAUCAGUAGCCGGCUUGAGAGAGUGACCGGCCACAUUGGGACUGAGACACGGCCCAAACUCCUACGGGAGGCAGCAGUGGGGAAUAUUGGACAAUGGGGGAAACCCUGAUCCAGCGAACCGCCGCGUGAGUGAAGAAGUAUUUCGGUAUGUAAAGCUCUAUCAGCAGGGAAGAUAAUGACAGUACCUGACUAAGAAGCCCCGGCUAACUACGUGCCAGCAGCGGC